rnacentral:rRNA from 1 species
AUUGAACGCUGGCGGCAGGCCUAACACAUGCAAGUCGAACGCGUGGCGGACGGGUGUGUAAUGUCUGGGAAACUGCCCGCUUGAGGGGGAUAACUACUGGAAACGGUAGCUAAUACCGCAUACCAUCGGAUGUGCCCAGCUGGGAUUAGCUAGUAGGUGGGGUAACGGCUCACCUAGGCGACGAUCCCUAGCUGGUCUGAGAGCAUGACCAGUCACAAUGGAAAAGAGACACGGUCCAGACUCCUACGGGAGGCAGCAGUGGUGAAUAUUGCGCAAUGGACGAAAGCCUGAAACAGCCAUGCCGCGUGUAUGAAGAAGACCUUCGGGUUGUAAAGUACUUUCAGCGAGGAGGCGUUACUCGCAGAAGAAGCACCGGCGAACUCCGUGCCAGCAGCCGCGGUAAUUC